CCGAGUUUACAACUCCCAAACCCCUGUGAACAUACCAUAUACGUUGCCUCGGCGAGCAGCCCCCCUCGGAGGGACCGCCCGAGGACCCUAAACUCUGCUUUAGUGGAACGUUGUCUGAGUGUAGAAGCAAGCAAAUAAAUCA
rnacentral:misc_RNA from 1 species